CAUGUCCUACCCGGGUAGUGACGUCAUUUGCAUCUGCUUCGCCGUGGACAACAGGGACUCCUUUGAGAACAUCACAUAAAAGUGGAUCCCAAAACUUCAACACCACAUCCCAAAUGUGCCUAAAAUGCUUGUGGCGUGUAAAACAGACCUGCGAUAUACAAGCACUGGGGAUUAUGUGACGUAUGCUUAGGGGUCAAAGGUCGCCCAAGAUUGGGACUACGGUACCAAGAAACCAGUGCUUUGACUCGAGACGGACUUACGGCAUGCUUUAAUAGAGCGAUCAUAGAAGCCAAUCAAGGGAUUGUAGCACGCCGGAGGAAGAAAGACCGAUUACAUUUUUUAGGAGACCGAAGAAAGAGAUUCCUAACCCACCCACACUGCCACCAGCAGAAAAGGCCCCUCGGGUUGAGGUAGAAGCUUCCCGGUUCGCUGACGACUGGCGUGGGAUGCUGGAGAAACCCCGAAAUUAUGAUGUGACAUUUAUACUCGGCGGAGGUCAGCGGCUAGAGGCUAAUACACUUGUACUGUGUUCGUCCUCGUCGUUCUUCUGUCGGGUCUUCGGGAUGACGCGCUAUGAUCAGAAUGACCAAAAGAAAAAAUUCGGUCGCUUGGAACCAUUCUCAAUGGAGGAUAUCUGCUGUAUAUGGAAAAGGGACGAUCAUCUGUGCCAAAGGUCAACGUCGGCGCCACACAGUUAUAAAGCUGGCUUCUGAUAUUACAUAUACAACGUUUACUCAAGUGCUGGCAUUUCUAUACACGGGUGGAUAUUCCUGCAACAUCCGUGGAGUGUUUUCUGGCCCUACUGGAGUACCUGUACACCGAUCACUCACCCAUACAGGAGGUCGACGUCAUGGGACUCAUUGUUCUCGCGGAUUUAUACGAUCAGAAAGGGCUCAUGAAUAUCUGUGAACUAUACGUUACGAAAGAAGUCGAUAGAAGCGUAACCAAACGAAUAGAACAGGCUGAGAUUGACGUCAUAGGAUUAAUUUUAACAUCACAGAUGUACAACGCCAACCAAUUGACCGCAUGGUGCUUGCACUUCAUCUCCAGUAAUUAUACAGCAUUCAAACGCAAGCCUGAAUUCGAUCAGCUCAAGGGAGAUAACUUAGACAUAGUGAAGAAAAGACAAUGGCCUCCCAGUUCCUAUCUCGAAGAAGUUGCAGAAUUCGACAAGAAAUGGGCAGGAAAUGGCGUAGAAUGUUUCUUGAUGUGACACAAUUACAGUGCGUCACUGUUUGUUAUUGGUAUUUAUUUGUUAUUGAUUAAUGUGUUUGUUAUUGUUAAUGUUAAGAUAUACAUGUAUAUAUUUUGGGAAGAAAUAAAAAAGAGGUUAAUUUACGGAAGCAAGUAUCUGAAUUGGUCGACUUUCACGUUUGUAGUGUUGUAUAGGUUUGAUAUACCUUCAUUGAACAAAUAGCUCAAGUAUUUACAAAGUUAACCUCGAUGCAGAGACGAAAUCAGGACACUGUUUCGGUAGCGUUGUUUUUCAUGGAUUUGGAUUAAGUUCAUAGGGAUAAGCAUCCUGUU
rnacentral:misc_RNA from 1 species